rnacentral:tRNA from 1 species
GGGGUUAUAGCUCAAGUGGUAGAGCACAUGCUUAGCAUGCAUGAGGUUCUGGGUUCAAUCCCCAGUACCUCUU